CGCAGCCGCGGUAAUUCCAGCUCCAAUAGCGUAUAUUAAAGUUGCUGCAGUUAAAAAGCUCGUAGUUGAAUUUCGGGACCAAUAUGUCGGUCGUGCCUCGGUACGUACUGGCAUCGUUGGUUUCUCCCUUCUGACGAACCAUGAUGUCAUUUAUUUGGUGUCGUGGGGAAUCAGGACUGUUACUUUGAAAAAUUAAGAGUGUUUAAAGCAGGCUCACGCUUGAAUACAUUAGCAUGGAAUAAUGAAAUAGGACGUUUGAUUCUAUUUUGUUGGUUUCUAGGAUCGACGUAAUGAUUAAUAGGGAUAGUUGGGGGCAUUAGUAUUCAAUUGUCAGAGGUGAAAUUCUUGGAUUUAUUGAAGACUAACUACUGCGAAAGCAUUUGCCAAGGAUGUUUUCAUUAAUCAAGGACGAAAGUUAGGGGAUCGAAGACGAUCAGAUACCGUCGUAGUCUUAACCAUAAACUAUGCCGACUAGGGAUCGGAUGAUGUUAAUUUUUUAAUGACUCG
rnacentral:rRNA from 1 species